AUCACUGGAACCUUCAGCACUUCUUUCUUCUUGAAAAGCUCCUCAGCAGUAUCAGUCAGGAACACACCGUCCACCACGGCUCCCAGGAUGGACACGUGGAACCUGGAGCAUAAGCCAAUCAUGAGAACGUGUAUAAGGACUAAGGUUCCAGUGAUUUGUAUACCUACCAGUAUGGAUGCACUGAUGCCUCCUGCUGAUUCUCCAGCAAUGGUGACAGUUUGCGGGUCUCCACCGAACACCUCAAUAUUUUCCUGCACCCAUCUCAGAGCUGCCAGCUGAUCCAAGAAACCCCAAUUGCCCUGAGCAUGUUCGUCUCCGGUGCUUUGGGACAGGAAAAGUCGAGAUAUUUGCUUUAAAUUCUUGGGGGACCACCAUACUGUGGAUCUUCUCUGUUUAUUUCUGUAUUUGAAACAUUUCAAACAAAUAUGAUGGGCAACACAAUUUCCUACCUCAGGAAUCCCAGAAUGCCGAGGCGAUACUGAAUAUUAACCAUCACUAUGUUUUCAUAAGCAGCCAAUGGAGCACCGUCAUAC